GACGAACGCUGGCGGCGUGCUUAACACAUGCAAGUCGAGCGGAAAGGCCCUUCGGGGUACUCGAGCGGCGAACGGGUGAGUAACACGUGAGUAAUCUGCCCUUGGCUUCGGGAUAGCCACCGGAAACGGUGAUUAAUACCGGAUACGACCACUCCUGGCAUCAGGUGGUGGUGGAAAGUUUUUCGGCCAGGGAUGUGCUCGCGGCCGAUCAGCUUGAUGGUGAGGUAAUGGCUCACCAUGGCUUCGACGGGUAGCCGGCCUGAGAGGGUGACCGGUCACACGGGGACUGAGACACGGCCCAGACUCCUACGGGAGGCAGCAGUGGGGAAUAUUGGACAAUGGGCGGAAGCCUGAUCCAGCAACGCCGCGUGAGGGAUGACGGCCUUCGGGUUGUAAACCUCUUUCAGCAGGGACGAAGCGCAAGUGACGGUACCUGCAGAAGAAGCACCGGCCAACUACGUGCCAGCCGCCGCUGUAAGAC
rnacentral:rRNA from 1 species